rnacentral:rRNA from 1 species
GUAGGUGGCAAGCGUUGUCCGGGAAUUAUUGGGGCGUAAAGCGCGCGCAGGCGGUUCUUUAAGCCUGAUGUGAAAGCCCACGGGCUCAACCGUGGAGGGUCAUUGGAAACUGGAGAACUUGAGUACAGAAGAGGAAAGCGGAAUUCCACGUGUAGCGGUGAAAUGCGUAGAGAUGUGGAAGAACACCAGUGGCGAAGGCGGCUUUCUGGUCUGUAACUGACGCUGAGGCGCGAAAGCGUGGGGAGCAAACAGGAUUAGAUACCCUGGUAGUCCACGCCGUAAACGAUGAGUGCUAAGUGUUAGGGGGUUUCCGCCCCUUAGUGCUGCAGCUAACGCAUUAAGCACUCCGCCUGGGGAGUACGGCCGCAAAGGCUG